UCGCGUUGUUGGUGAUCUACCUCCUCCCAGAGAGCCAACAGAGUUGCGGUGCACCUCCUCCCGCGCCGCAAUCAAAUCAAGCCCGCCGCACCUCCUCCCGCGGCGGGCUUUUUUG
rnacentral:sRNA from 1 species